rnacentral:lncRNA from 1 species
AUUAACUCAAUCACGUCACCUCCAUUCUUUUGAUGACGUAUAAGGCAAAGAUUAACUUGAUCACAUCACCUCCAAUCUUUUGAAAACAUAUAAGAUAGAAAAAUUAUAUUUAGCUGAUCUCCUUCCGUCUCUCUAUUUUUAACCGCGGGAGGCGCACACAACCUCUCUUCACGUAAGUGCCACCUCUGAUUUGUCCAUGCUUUGUGGUGACGAUCUGUACCAUAAAUCGGCGCAAGUUUGUGAAGCCGCCGCUGCUUUCUAUAGUCGGAUCCAUCUCUCCUACAUUGUCAGCGAGACAAAUUGGUUGUAGUAAUCUCAGUUUCCUCACCAUUAUGUGCUAAGGAGUAUUCGGCUGUGAUCUCUUUUCCUCUCUUCCUAUGUCUGUCGUGAUUAAUGAUAGUCCCAGCUGACUGCUCUUUCAGUGGAGAGAUCAUAAUCGGUUCCAGCGAAAGGACGGGCUUCUUCACCCUCAAUUGAUCCAUCUGUGAUUUUAAGAUCAACUGCUCCCACGUCCAGGUUUGGCAUUGCCAUUAGGCAUUAGAUAUCGUUCGAUAAUAGUUUUCUUGAUUAAAUGAUUUUAUUAUGUUAUAUUAAUGGAUGUGUUUCACUCCCAAGCAAUCAAAAGAUGGACAAAUUUUGGCUGAUUGCAACCCAAGCACUGCAAAAGUUGUCCGAGCUGUCAGACUCCUAUCUGAAUCCCGACAAAACAGGGCUGAGAUAAGGAGUGUGGGCACACCUGGGUGCAGCCACACCUUUCGAUCCAAGACAGAUGCUAAUAUGCAUAUUAAUAUAUUUUUCUAGGUCGGGACAAAGCUUUCAUACCCAUGUUAUUUUUACCUAACGUUUUCCCUAGAUGUUCACGAGUUUAAAAUACCAAAUUAUCAUUGAUAUCUUCCGCAAAAAAAAUUAUCAUUGAUAUUAGUGUUCAGGAGUUCAGAAUGCAGUUAAAUUUCCAUGUGAUGUGAAUGACUCAAUUUCAGUAAAUAUAUGUUCGAUUAGUGAGGUCACCUCGAACAAUGAAGAUAUGAUUAAUUUGUGCUGGAUUAUUUGGAGGUAAUAUCUUCCUUUUCUUACAAAUAGUUUAUUUUUUGCCUAUAAUCUAUUUGCGCGGGCGUUCCGAAAUACGAUAACCAGCUUUCAGGCAUUUUUAAUCAUGAUGCACAAUUUUGAGUCUCCAUGCAGCAUCGCCACCUUGAUCAUCAUGUGUUCCGAGAACUAAAACCAGACAGAUAGACGUCAGGUUCCCUUCUCUCCCUGCUCCUUCUAUCCGUUAUUCACAUACAAGUUAAUGCACCGGGCCAAUUCGUUGUUGCACCCUUGCAUGCCGGUGUUUGGACGCCCCUUCUAGCAUUUUGGUACACCACUGCGCCUUUCUGGAAGAACCAUAUCACAUGAAGGUUUGUGCCACCGAUGCAUCCAUAUUUUUAAAAAAGUGCAUCUUCUUAUUAGGGUUUGUGCCACCGAUGCAUCCAUUUAUGUUCAGAAUACACAGCUUUGCAUAUCUCAUGUGCCUAUAAAUGGAGCCGUCCUAAGAAUCCAUCCAAUCCACUAUGCACUUUUAUGAAGACUGAUGGCGCUGAAUUAAUAUAUCAAUCUGGUGCUCCGGGACUAGUAUGUGAACAAGCAAUCCUUUUAGUUUAUCAAUUGGUGGUGCAAAUCCAGGGCAAAAAAUAAAUUCGGUCAUGCUUCUCUACUUAAUCAAUAUACAAUUAUUUUCUUAGAAGCAUUUGCCGAUGACUAUCAGUACAGAGGCAAGGACUAACAAUUAUUAAGAGGGGCCAAGAUUGAAU